CUGAGAUCAUCCCUUAUCCCUGGAUCCCAGACCUGGGAUUCAAAUGUCAUUUUCUGUGUGGUGUCCUUAUUUUAUUCCUAGGAAAAGGAUCCCCAAAGGAGGUGUAAGGCUCCUGGACUCUAGUGCCUGAAAGAAGCUUCUGCCACCUUCACAGGCUAGGGCUCACCGUCCAUUGUGGAGGUGAAGACUGGAUGGGAGCUACUGGACUGACCUUGAUGUGCCAUGUCCUUGUGUGGAUGAAGGACCUACAUCUCAGGGGUGGCCAGCAGCAGAUGUAACACGUGUCCAGAAAUAGGCUAAACAAUCUACACCGAUAGAUCACCAGCCGCUCAGCAGAAUGCGGGAGAGCCGAGUGCUGAUGGGCUAGAGGGGUCCCAGGAGUCACCGUGUGGCUGUGCAGCAGGUGCAAUGUCUGCAGUCACCAUGGGCCAAACCCUGCGCUCCAGACAACCCAGGCUGUUUCCCUCGAUUACAAAGGGGACUUUAGCUUGGGGAAUCACUUGCUGGAGCCUGUGUCAAUAACUGGGAUGUUUUCACGAGGCUACUCAGUGGUACAUGAAGCGCCAUCCAAGCAAGCCAAACUCUGACCAAACCCAGGUCUGCUUUGUGUUUAAACCCUAUGUAAAACCCAAUGCAUUCAGACCAGCAUGGAGCUGCUGAUUGAAGCAUCUCAUCUGGACAUUAGAGACCGAGGCUGGGACCUACGCGGAGCUUCUGCAGUCGAGCAUCCACAGCCAGAAGAGAGACGAUGGGAAACGCGCUUAGAUGGCUGGCCACAGCAACAGCAGCAGCAGCUGUCUCAUAAAGCUCUGCUCAUGCUCUAGCCAACAGAGGCAGGACAAAGAGCCACACAGUGAGAGCCUGGGUUGCAAUUAGCAAUACAAGUUUUUUUCAGUGGAUUAUGCAGUCCUGACAGUCUAUUUCCUGUAAUGUGCACAUCAACCUCCCUUGCUGACCUCAAUGGAAGUGACGUGCUCCGUGCCUACAGGAUCAGUGCUCAAUAUGCUCGCACAGCAACCUAGCGUGCAAAAACGCAAUAUGAGAGAUGCAAUGGUCCAAAUAUGUAGAAACCUGUCCUCCCUGUUUGUCCCUGCAGUUUUCAUGUCUGCAAUUAAAGGAAGUCUAUAGCAGGGUGGACCCCUGCUCCUGCCCUGAGGGGUUUAAAAGCGGCCUGGCAGGGCUCGAGAGUGGCUGCUCU